rnacentral:rRNA from 1 species
AUUGAACGCUGGCGGCAUGCCUUACACAUGCAAGUCGAACGGUAACAGGUCUUCGGAUGCUGACGAGUGGCGAACGGGUGAGUAAUACAUCGGAACGUGCCUAGUAGUGGGGGAUAACCACUCGAAAGAGUGGCUAAUACCGCAUGAGAUCUACAGAUGAAAGCAGGGGAUCGCAAGACCUUGUGCUACUAGAGCGGCCGAUGGCAGACUAGGUAGUUGGUGGGAUAAAAGCUUACCAAGCCGACGAUCUGUAGCUGGUCUGAGAGGACGAUCAGCCACACUGGGACUGAGACACGGCCCAGACUCCGAAGGGAGGCAGCAGUGGGGAAUUUUGGACAAUGGGCGAAAGCCUGAUCCAGCAAUGCCGCGUGCAGGAUGAAGGCCUUCGGGUUGUAAACUGCUUUUGUACGGAACGAAAAGCCCCGGGUUAAUACCCUGGGGUCAUGACGGUACCGUAAGAAUAAGCACCGGCUAACUACGUGCCAGCCGCCGCCGUAA